rnacentral:lncRNA from 1 species
UAGCAGCAUUGAGGGGAAGCACCUGUGGUCCAUUGCGCUUCUUGGUCCUCCAAAGAGCUCUGAAGCCUCCUCCCUCUCACUCAUGCCACUUUGCCUGGACAUCUCGCUGGCAUUUUACAGCAACUAGUGACUUCAGUUCCAACGGGAAAAGGGAUGAAUGAAGAGUGUUUGCUGAGAGGGGAAUGGAACCAGGACAAUGUGGGACGCUGGCUCAAAAACUCAAGGCUGGAGCUCACAAACCAGACUGUGAACAGAAGCUCUGGGUACUAAAGGAAGAAUACUGGUGGACUCUCUGUAAGGCUGUUUCUCAGGGCAGCCUUUUCCCUUCCCAAGAUUUUCUUUCUGUAUCAUUGUCAUCAAGCAAGAGAGGCUGUACCUGCAGCACAGCCCUAAUUACCCAGCGACUGGUACUCACCUCCUUCAGAGUACAGCACACAAGUUCCUGCCUGCG